rnacentral:lncRNA from 10 species
UGCAGUAAAUCUUGCUGCUGCUCAGUCUUUGGGUUUCCACUGCUUUUAUGAGCUGGAACACUCACUUCAAAAGUCUGCAGUUCUACUCUUGAAGCCAGCCAGACCACUAACCCACCAGAAGAAAGAAAUUGUGAAACCGUCCAAACGUCAGAAGGAACAAACUCUGGACGCACUGUCUUUAAGAACUGUAACACUCACCACGAGGGUCCAUGGCUUUGUUCUUGAAGUCAGUGAGACCAAGAACCCACCAAUUACACCAAGAUAGCCACCAAAACAAGACACACAGACCUUGCACCCAGAUAUAACAUACCUGCAAUCAAGUAUCUCCAGUGUCUGGCUGAACUAAUUUUAGCCCAAG